rnacentral:rRNA from 1 species
GCCCCACUAGUCUGGGAUACCACUUGGAAACAGGUGCUAAUACCGGAUAAGAAAGCGGAUCGCAUGAUCAGCUUUUAAAAGGCGGCGUAAGCUGUCGCUAUGGGAUGGCCCCGCGGUGCAUUAGCUAGUUGGUAAGGUAAAGGCUUACCAAGGCGAUGAUGCAUAGCCGAGUUGAGAGACUGAUCGGCCACAUUGGGACUGAGACACGGCCCAAACUCCUACGGGAGGCAGCAGCC